UACGGAGGGGACUAGCGUUGUUCGGAAUUACUGGGCGUAAAGCGCACGUAGGCGGAUUUGUAAGUCAGGGGUGAAAUCCCGGGGCUCAACCUCGGAACUGCCUUUGAUACUGCAAAUCUCGAGUCCGGAAGAGGUGAGUGGAAUUCCUAGUGUAGAGGUGAAAUUCGUAGAUAUUAGGAAGAACACCAGUGGCGAAGGCGGCUCUCUGGUCCGGACCUGACGCUGAGGCGCGAAAGCGUGGGGAGCAAACAGG
rnacentral:rRNA from 1 species